rnacentral:pre_miRNA from 1 species
UGGGAUAAUUGGUCGGCAUUGUGGUGUAAUUGAUGUAUAAUGCCCCCAAUUAUACCAAC